UUGACACCAUCUCCCACAGCAUCCUCGCAGCUAAACUGAGGAAGUGUGGUCUGGACGAUCGGGUAGUGAGGUGGACUGUGAACUGGCUGAAGGAAAGAAGCCAGAGGGUUGUGGUCAAUGGGACAGAGUCGAGUUGGAGUCCUGUAUCUAGUGGACUAGCAGAAGGGUUAUAUGUCGA